rnacentral:rRNA from 1 species
GAUGAACGCUGGCGGCGUGCCUAAUACAUGCAAGUCGAGCGAACAGACGAGGAGCUUGCUCCUCUGACGUUAGCGGCGGACGGGGGAGUAACACGGGGAUAACCUACCUAUAAGACUGGGAUAACUUCGGGAAACCGGAGCUAAUACCGGAUAACAUGUUGAACCGCAUGGUUCAACAGUGAAAGACGGUCUUGCUGUCACUUAUAGAUGGAUCCGCGCCGCAUUAGCUAGUUGGUAAGGUAACGGCUUACCAAGGCAACGAUGCGUAGCCGACCUGAGAGGGUGAUCGGCCACACUGGAACUGAGACACGGUCCAGACUCCUACGGGAGGCAGCAGUAGGGAAUCUUCCGCAAUGGGCGAAAGCCUGACGGAGCAACGCCGCGUGAGUGAAGAAGGUCUUCGGAUCGUAAAACUCUGUUAUUAGGGAAGAACAAAUGUGUAAGUAACUAUGCACGUCUUGACGGUACCUAAUCAGAAAGCCACGGCUAACUACGUG